rnacentral:rRNA from 1 species
CCCUUAGAUGUUCUGGGCCGCACGCGCGCUACACUGAUGCAUUCAACGAGUUUUACCUUGGCCGAGAGGCCUGGGCAAUCUUUUAAACCUGCAUCGUGAUAGGGAUAGAUUAUUGCAAUUAUUAAUCUUGAACGAGGAAUUCCUAGUAAACGCAAAUCAUCAAUUUGCAUUGAUUACGUCCCUGCCCUUUGUACACACCGCCCGUCGCACCUACCGAUUGAAUGGUCCGGUGAAGCCUCGGGAUUGUGGCCAGUUCACUUUAUUGGGAGUUGGCUGUGAGAACUUGUCUAAACCUUAUCAUUUAGAGGAAGGUGAGGUCGUAACA